AUGGGCAACACGUGCGUCGGCCCCAGCAUCGGCAAGAACGGCUUCUUCCACUCCGUCUCCACCGUGCUCUGGACCAGGCGCCCCGACGGCGAAGCCCUGCCCGCCGCCAACGCCAAUGGAGGCGCCGCGGACCGGACGCCGCCGCCGGACGCGCCGCUGGCCGCCCACAUCGUGAGCAAGGCGCCCGAGCCCGUCAAGAUCGCCUCCGGCGCCGCCAACGCCAAGCCCGAUGAGGCGGCGCAACCCAAGCCCAAGGCCAAGCCGCCGGCACAUCCCAAGCCGGCCGCCCCCGCCGCCGCCAAGGAGCAGGAGUCCAAGGCGUCCACGGACUCGUCCAGCAGCUCCGGCUCCGGCUUCGGCGAGGCCAAGCCGCCGCACCACCGGCCCAAGGUGCCCCCGGUCAAGCGCGUGUCGAGCGCCGGCCUGCUGGUCGGCUCCGUGCUCAAGCGCAAGACGGAGAGCGUCAAGGAGAAGUACAGCCUGGGGCGGCGGCUGGGCCAGGGCCAGUUCGGCACCACCUACCUCUGCGUCGAGCGGAGCUCCGGCAAGGAGUACGCCUGCAAGUCCAUCCUCAAGCGCAAGCUCGUCACCGACGACGACGUGGAGGACGUGCGCCGGGAGAUCCAGAUAAUGUACCACCUGGCGGGCCACCCCAACGUCAUCUCCAUCCGGGGCGCCUACGAGGACGCCGUCGCCGUGCACCUCGUCAUGGAGCUCUGCGCCGGCGGCGAGCUCUUCGACAGGAUCGUGCAGAAGGGCCACUACACCGAGCGCAAGGCCGCCGAGCUCGCCAGGGUCAUCGUCGGCGUCGUAGAGGUGUGCCACUCCAUGGGCGUCAUGCACCGGGACCUCAAGCCCGAGAACUUCCUCUUCGUCGACCAGACGGAGGAGGCCGCCCUCAAGACCAUCGACUUUGGUCUCUCCGUCUUCUUCCGGCCUGGUCAAAUAUUCACCGAUGUUGUCGGAAGCCCCUACUAUGUCGCGCCAGAAGUGCUGAAGAAGAAAUAUGGCCCCGAGGCAGACGUCUGGAGCGCCGGUGUGAUCAUCUACAUUCUGUUAUGUGGUGUGCCGCCAUUUUGGGCAGAGAACGAGCAGGGCAUAUUCGAAGAGGUUCUACAUGGGAAACUCGACUUCGAGUCAGAUCCAUGGCCCAGCAUCUCCGAAGGCGCCAAGGAUCUCGUGAGGAGAAUGCUCCUCAGGGACCCCAAGAAGAGACUGACCGCCCAUGAAGUUCUACGGCAUCCAUGGGUUCAGGUUGGCGGUCUGGCUCCUGACAAGCCUCUGGACUCUGCUGUUCUAUCCCGUAUGAAGCAGUUCUCGGCCAUGAACAAGCUCAAAAAGAUGGCUCUCAGGGUGAUUGCGGAGAACUUGUCCGAGGACGAGAUCGCCGGCCUCAAGGAGAUGUUCAAGAUGAUCGACUCGGACAACAGCGGGCAGAUCACGUACGAGGAGCUCAAGGUGGGGCUCAAGAAGGUGGGCGCCAACCUCCAGGAGUCGGAGAUCUACGCGCUCAUGCAGGCCGCGGACGUGGACAAGAGCGGGACGAUCGACUACGGCGAGUUCAUCGCGGCGACGCUGCACCUGAACAAGGUGGAGCGGGAGGACCACCUGUUCGCGGCGUUCCAGUACUUCGACAAGGACGGCAGCGGCUACAUCACCCCCGACGAGCUGCAGCUCGCCUGCGAGGAGUUCGGCCUCGGCUCCGACGACCUCAGCCUCGACAACAUGAUCAGAGAAGUCGACCAGGACAACGACGGGCGCAUAGACUACAACGAGUUCGUGGCGAUGAUGCAGAAGCCGGCGCUGGGGCUGGCGAAGAAGGCCGGGGCCGGGUUGGAGAGCAGCUUCAGUAUCGGCUUCAGGGAGGCGCUGAGGAUGGCCUGA
rnacentral:rRNA from 1 species